rnacentral:rRNA from 1 species
CCCAGACUCCUACGGGAGGCAGCAGUGGGGAAUAUUGGGCAAUGGAGGAAACUCUGACCCAGCAACGCCGCGUGAAGGAUGAAGGUUUUCGGAUUGUAAACUUCUGUCGCGAGGGAUGAAGAAUGACGGUACCUCGUAAGAAAGCCCCGGCAAACUACGUGCCAGCAGCCGCGGUAAUACGGAGGGUGCGAGCGUUAAUCGGAAUUACUGGGCGUAAAGCGCUCGUAGGCGGUAUGUCAAGUCAAGGGUGAAAUCCCCGCGCUCAAUGUGGGAACUGCCUUUGAAACUGGCAAACUGGAGUGUGUGAGAGGAUAGUGGAAUUCCAGGUGUAGGAGUGAAAUCCGUAGAUAUCUGGAGGAACAUCAGUGGCGAAGGCGACUAUCUGGCACAUAACUGACGCUGAGGAGCGAAAGCGUGGGUAGCAAACAGGAUUAGAUACCCUUGUA